rnacentral:lncRNA from 1 species
CAGGUAAUAAUAAUAAUAAUAAUAAUAAUAAUAAUAAUAAUAAUAAUAAUAAUAAUAAUAAUAAUAAUAAUGAUAAUAAUAAUAAUAAUAAUAAUAAUAAUAAUAAUAAUAAUAAUAAUAAUACCCUAACCCUAAGUUUUUGUCAAAGAAACUUCAUCAAAGCAGAAGAAACGACUCUUUGUUCAUUACAACUCACAGAAACUGAGCUGGGUUUGAUUUCAUCAGGAGCUAACAGUGUGUGUGUGUGUGUGUGUGUGUGUGUGUGUUACAGGUGUUUGUUGUUUCUGCCUGUUGUCGUUGUUGCCUCUCUGGCUGCUCCGCUCCAUCACGGACAAACAGAGGAUGAUGAGAAGAACAGCCGGGCAUCUCAGUCCACAGUGGACGCUCCUAAAGAGACAGAAGAGUCCGACCUCACGGUGGACACAUCGGACUCAUCGUCAGAGAACAUCCAGUCUGAAGCCCUGAGUCCAGACAGCAUAGACGACAGGGACUCCCAGGAGGUCCAAACAGAGGUCCAGGAGGCCUACAGCACUGAGAACAAGAACUCUGCUGAGAAGAUCAACACUGAGCUAUCCAACAUUGAAGACUCAAAAGAAGAAGUUGACAGUAACUCUGAGACUGAAGAUGACCAACCAGAUGCUGCUGAGGACUCCAAGGACAACAGCUCACAUAUGGAGGACUUCAAGAAGCCCUCUACAGAUGUGAAGGACAAUGAAGACAACUCAGAAGAGACAGAUGACGAGUCUGAUACAAGAGGAGACAAGACCAGUGAGGAACCUUCAGAAGAGAUGGCUGUGAGAUCGGCCGAGGAGCUGGACCUCAAGAGAGAUAGUCACAGCGAGGACAUCUCAGCUCAAGACAUCUCAGAUAAAAACAUCUCAGCUCAGGACAUCGCAGAUGAAGAUGUCUCAGAUAAAAACAUCUCAAAUCAGGACAUCUCAGCUCAGGACAUCGCAGAUGAAGAUGUCUCAGAUAAAAACAUCUCAAAUCAAGAUGUCUCAGCUGGAAAUGUCUCAGCAGAGGAUAUUUUGGCAGAAGAAGUGUCCACUGAGGACGCAGCAGACAGUGAUGGACACGACACUCAGACCCAGAGUGAAGGACACACUUCAUCAGACACUAGUGAGGACCAACGAGGCAUCAGCGGAACACAGAGAGUGGAGGCUGUGAAUUCAAUGAAAGUCACACCUGACCAACCAGAAGACUCCUCCUCUUCUUCUUCUUCUACAGACGUCCCAAGUUAGACACUGUUCAUCUGAUCUGAGGCCGACGCCCCCUGAAGAGCUGAAGCUGAUAAAGGUCACGUGAGCAGAGCAGCUGACCAGUAUCUCCAGCCUGGUUUUGUUCCAGGAUGAUGGAGUCAAUCUUUUAUUCAACUAUGUUUAAUGUUUAAUGGUUUUGUCCAGAUUAAAGCAACCACUGAUCGCACAA